GACGAACGCUGGCGGCGUGCCUAAUACAUGCAAGUCGAACGCAGGGGGGACGGGUGAGUAACACGUGGGUAACCUCCCAUCAGAGGGGAUAACACUUGGAAACAGGUGCUAAACCGAUACUGAUGGAUGGACCCGCGGUGGAUGAGCUAGUUGGUGAGGUAACGGCUCACCAGUGCCACGAAGCAUAGGCGUCCUAGGAGGUUGAUCGGCCACACUGGUACUGAGACACGGCCCAGACUCCUACGGGAGGCAGCAGUAGGGAAUCUUCGGCAAUGGACGAAAGUCGGACCGAGCAACGCCGCGUGAGUGAAGAAGGUUUUCGGAUCGUAAAACUCUGUUGUUAGAGAAGCGGUAUCUAACCAGAAAGCCACGGCUAACUACGUGCCAGCCGCCGCGGUAAUUC
rnacentral:rRNA from 1 species